rnacentral:misc_RNA from 1 species
GAUGAAGACGCAGCGAAAUGCGAUAAGUAAUGUGAAUUGCAGAAUUCAGUGAAUCAUCGAAUCUUUGAACGCACAUUGCGCCCGCCAGUAUUCUGGCGGGCAUGCCUGUUCGAGCGUCAUUUCAACCAUCAAGCCCCCGGCUUGUGUUGGGGACCUGCGGCUGCCGCAGGCCCUGAAAACCAGUGGCGGGCUCGCUAGUCACUCCGAGCGUAGUAAUACAUCUCGCUCAGGGCGUGCUGCGGGUUCCGGCCGUUAAAAAAGCCUUAUUUACCCAAGGUUGACCUCGGAUCAGGUAGGAAGACCCGCUGAACUUAAGCAUAUCAAUAAGCGGAGGA